rnacentral:rRNA from 1 species
GACGAACGCUGGCGGCGUGCUUAACACAUGCAAGUCGAACGGAAAGGCCCUGCUUGCAGGGUGCUCGAGUGGCGAACGGGUGAGUAACACGUGGGUGAUCUGCCCCCUACUUUGGGAUAAGCCUGGGCAACUGGGUCUAAUACUGGAUAGGACCAUGCUGUAGGUGGUGUGGUGGAAAGAUUAUUUUCGGUCAGGGUUGAGCUCGCGGCCGAUCAGCUUGUUGGUGGGGUAAUGGCCUACCAAGGCGUCGACGGGUAGCCGGCCUGAGAGGGUGGGAGGCAACAUCGGGACUGAGAUGCGACGCAGAAUCCUGCAAGAGGCAGCAGUGGGGGAUAUUGCGCAAUAGGCGCAAGGCGGAUGCGGCGACGCCGCGUGGGGGGUGACGGCCUUCGGGUUGUAAACAACUGUCGGCCAUGACGAAGCCCUUGUGGUGACGGUAGUGGUAGAAGAAGCACCGGCUAACUACGUG